AGCAGCCGCGGUAAUUCCAGCUCCAAUAGCGUAUAUUAAAGUUGUUGCAGUUAAAAAGCUCGUAGUUGAAUUUCGGGGUUCUACCGUUGGUCGGGCUUUGUCUGUACUGGCGUGUAGAAUUUCUACCUUCUGGGGAACUAUCAUGUUAUUAAUUUAACGUGGUGGGAAACCAGGACCUUUACCUUGAAAAAAUUAGAGUGUUUAAAGCAGGCUGACGCUUGAAUACAUUAGCAUGGAAUAAUGAAAUAGGACGUUCGAUCUUAUUUUGUUGGUUUCUAGGAUUGACGUAAUGAUUAAUAGGGAUAGUUGGGGGCAUUAGUAUUCAAUUGUCAGAGGUGAAAUUCUUGGAUUUAU
rnacentral:rRNA from 1 species